rnacentral:rRNA from 1 species
AGCGAACGCUGGCGGUAGGCCUAACACAUGCAAGUCGAACGGCAGCACAGUAAGAGCUUGCUCUUACGGGUGGCGAGUGGCGGACGGGUGAGGAAUACAUCGGAAUCUACUUUUUCGUGGGGGAUAACGUAGGGAAACUUACGCUAAUACCGCAUACGACCUACGGGUGAAAGCAGGGGAUCUUCUGACCUUGUGCGAUUGAAUGAGCCGAUGUCGGAUUAGCUAGUUGGCGGGGGAAAGGCCCACCAAGGCGACGAUCCGUAGCUGGUCUGAGUGGAUGGUCAGCCACACUGGAACUGAGACACGGUCCAGACUCCUGCGGGAGGCAGCAGUGGGGAAUAUUGGACAAUGGGGGCAAGCCUGAUCCAGCCAUACCGCGUGGGUGAAGAAGGCCUUCGGGUUGUAAAGCCCUUUUGUUGGGAAAGAAAAGCAGCAGGUUAAUACGCCGCUGUUCUGACGGUACCCAAAGAAUAAGCACCGGCUAACUUCGUG